UGAAAAAGCAAAACUGCUUAGUCAGAUCUGUCUUAGUGUACCCUGAGUCUGCAGUGGAAAGUGCUGUUGUUGGUGUGUACUAACUGUGCUUCUGUGUUUGUUUGUUUUUUUCCAGCAUGUUCCUCAGACCCCAGCUGACUUCAUGUCCUCUCAGAUGACUCCACUCCACCGAGGCCGAAGGUGAGACUGAGGCAGGGAUGCAACUUUAUAAGCCCAGAAAGAAAAUAAAGAUGAGGCUUGAAAAUGGUCUUUUAAAUGGUCUGAUUUGGAGCAUGGCUGCCAACCAUCAUGCAAACAUGAGCUGUUUUAAAUGACUGGUAACACUUUACAAUAACCAUAACUUAUAAAUGGUAAAUUGACCGUUUAUGAAUGGUAAGCAGAUAGUUUAUUAAUAUUUAAAUAAUUUAUAAAUAGCAUAUAGGCCAUAAAUAGUAAAUUUUACAAUUUUAUAAAAACCUUACCCCUAACCCUAACAUUACUAUAACCAUUUAAGUAAUGUUUAUAUAAACCAAUUAUUAAUCAAUUAUUAUGGUUUAUAAUCAAUAAUUAUAAACCAAUUUACAAAUUAUUUCAAACAUCAGUUACAACUUUACAAUAAACCAUCAAGUAAUGUUUAUAGAUGGUUUAAGAACCAAAUAUUAACCAUUUACUGACACACAUUUUAAUCUAGAUGUUUUAAAACAAAUAUUUAAACCCUAUAUAAACCUUUUAAUAAAUAGUCCAUUAAUAAUUAAUGAAAAUUAUCAAUCAUUAAAGUAACAAUUAACUUAUAUUAAUAAACUAUCUAUUUGGCAUUUAUAAUUGGUCUAUAGGCUGUUUUUAAAUGAUUAAACUUUAAUUAUCUAUUUACCAUUUAUAAAUUGUAGUUAUUGUAAAGUAUUUAAAAUAGGGCUGAACUCAUAAACUUGUGUGAAAGCUGAUUAUUGAAGGAGGUCAAAGAGGUCAAGGUUUUUAAUUCUGAGUCUUAUAUUCAGGACUUAAGGUUUGAUGGUUGUGUAUUUCUCUGUGUUAACCAGGAGCUGAAAUUACACCGGAUCAAGUCAAACUGAGGCAGAACUCAUGACCGUCCAACGCCUGGACCCUGUAAGGUAAGACAUUGACUACUUCACUCCACGGACAGACCAUCAACGAGGGACACUGGAGGUCAGUUUGCUUUUGGUUUGACAACAACCGCACCAACAAAAACAAGAACCCCACCAUCAACAAUCAAGCAGUGCAGUUGUUCUCUGCCCGAGUAGCAGGUUUUGGUCUAGGUUUGGUGAUGCAAUUGUGGAGAGAAAGUGUUCUCUUCUGGGGUUGCAGGUUUUGGUCUAGUUUUGGUCUGCUUUGGUGAUGCAAUUGUGGAGAGAAGUUGUUCUCUUCCAGAGAAGCAGAUUUUUGUCUAGUUUUGCUCUGUUUUGGUGAUGCAAUUGUGGAGAGAAACUGUUCUCUUCCAAAACCACAAAAACAAGAAUCCCCACCAUUAACGAUCAACCAGUGCAGCAAUAUAGACCCCCAAAACAAGUCUACUAUCAGAUUUAAUUAAACAAAAUAGCAACUCGGUCCUCAAAAACGUGUAAAUCAACAAAUUUACCAAAACAAAAAUGAGAGUUCACUCAAAUUAAAAUUUAACUUCC